rnacentral:rRNA from 1 species
CAGCAGCCGCGGUAAUACGUAGGUGGCAAGCGUUGUCCGGAAUUAUUGGGCGUAAAGGGCUCGCAGGCGGUUUCUUAAGUCUGAUGUGAAAGCCCCCGGCUCAACCGGGGAGGGUCAUUGGAAACUGGGAAACUUGAGUGCAGAAGAGGAGAGUGGAAUUCCACGUGUAGCGGUGAAAUGCGUAGAGAUGUGGAGGAACACCAGUGGCGAAGGCGACUCUCUGGUCUGUAACUGACGCUGAGGAGCGAAAGCGUGGGGAGCGAACAGGAUUAGAUACCCCUGAGUCCCUGUCUCUUAUACA